GAUGAAGAACGUAGCGAAAUGCGAUAAGUAGUGUGAAUUGCAGAAUUCAGUGAAUCAUCGAAUCUUUGAACGCACAUUGCGCCCCUUGGUAUUCCAUGGGGCAUGCCUGUUCGAGCGUCAUUUGUACCUUCAAGCUUUGCUUGGUGUUGGGUGUUUGUCCUGAGGGACUCGCCUUAAAGUAAUUGGCAGCCAGUGUUUUGGUUUUGAAGCGCAGCACAAGUCGCGAUUCAAAGCUAUACGCCAGCUUCCACAAGCCUUUUUCACUUUUGACCUCGGAUCAGGUAGGGAUACCCGCUGAAUUUAAGCAUAUCAAUAAGCGGAGGA
rnacentral:misc_RNA from 1 species